UACGGGGGGAGCAAGCGUUGUUCGGAUUCAUUGGGCGUAAAGGGUGCGUAGGCGGCGCGGUAAGUCGGGUGUGAAAUCUCGGAGCUUAACUCCGAAACUGCAUUCGAUACUGCCGUGCUUGAGGACUGGAGAGGAGACUGGAAUUUACGGUGUAGCGGUGAAAUGCGUAGAUAUCGUAAGGAAGACCAGUGGCGAAGGCGGGUCUCGUGGACAGUUCCUGACGCUGAGGCACGAAGGUCAGGGGAGCAAACGGG
rnacentral:rRNA from 1 species